rnacentral:rRNA from 1 species
AUUGAACGCUGGCGGCAUGCUUUACACAUGCAAGUCGAACGGCAGCGCGGGCUUCGGCCUGGCGGCGAGUGACGAACGGGUGAGUAAUACAUCGGAACGUGCCCAGUAGUGGGGGAUAGCUCGGCGAAAGCCGGAUUAAUACCGCAUACGACCUGAGGGUGAAAGCGGGGGAUCUUCGGACCUCGCGCUAUUGGAGUGGCCGAUGGCAGAUUAGCUAGUUGGUGGGGAAAAGGCCUACCAAGGCGACGAUCUGUAGCUGGUCUGAGAGGACGACCAGCCACACUGGGACUGAGACACGGCCCAGACUCCUACGGGAGGCAGCAGUGGGGAAUUUUGGACAAUGGGCGAAAGCCUGAUCCAGCAAUGCCGCGUGUGUGAUGAAGGCCUUCGGGUUGUAAAGCACUUUUGGCGGGAACGAAAAGGACUGUGCCAAUACCACGGUUCGAUGACGGUACCCGCAGAAUAAGCACCGGCUAACUACGUG